AUACGGAGGGGGCUAGCGUUGUUCGGAUUUACUGGGCGUAAAGCGCACGUAGGCGGAUUGUUAAGUCGGGGGUGAAAGCCCGGGGCUCAACCCCGGAACUGCCUCCGAUACUGGCAAUCUUGAGGACGGUAGGGGAGAGCGGAACUCCUGGUGGAGCGGUGAAAUGCGUAGAUAUCAGGAGGAACACCGAUUGCGAAGGCAGGCUUCUAUGUUGCAACUGACGCUGAGGCACGAAAGCGUGGGUAGCGAACAGGAUUAGAUACCCCAGUAGUCC
rnacentral:rRNA from 1 species